rnacentral:rRNA from 1 species
GGAGAAAGCUUGCUUUCUUGCUGACGAGUGGCGGACGGGUGAGUAAUGCUUGGGAAUCUGGCUUAUGGAGGGGGAUAACGACGGGAAACUGUCGCUAAUACCGCGUAUUAUCGGAAGAUGAAAGUGCGGGACUGAGAGGCCGCAUGCCAUAGGAUGAGCCCAAGUGGGAUUAGGUAGUUGGUGGGGUAAAGGCCUACCAAGCCAGCGAUCUCUAGCUGGUCUGAGAGGAUGACCAGCCACACUGGAACUGAGACACGGUCCAGACUCCUACGGGAGGCAGCAGUGGGGAAUAUUGCGCAAUGGGGGGAACCCUGACGCAGCCAUGCCGCGUGAAUGAAGAAGGCCUUCGGGUUGUAAAGUUCUUUCGGUAUUGAGGAAGGUUGAUGUGUUAAUAGCACAUCAAAUUGACGUUAAAUACAGAAGAAGCACCGGCUAACUCCGUGCCAGCAGCCGCGGUAAUACGGAGGGUGCGAGCGUUAAUCGGAAUAACUGGGCGUAAAGGGCACGCAGGCGGUUAUUUAAGUGAGGUGUGAAAGCCCCGGGCUUAACCUGGGAAUUGCAUUUCAGACUGGGUAACUAGAGUACUUUAGGGAGGGGUAGAAUUCCACGUGUAGCGGUGAAAUGCGUAGAGAUGUGGAGGAAUACCGAAGGCGGAGGCAGCCCCUUGGGAAUGUACUGACGCUCAUGUGCGAAAGCGUGGGGAGCAAACAGGAUUAG